CUGUUAUUCAUAAUUAAUUUACACAUUUUUGCUCUCUUUCUUCCUUUCUCUUUUUCAUCAUGACAUAUUUUCAAAGCUCAGAAUAGAAUUUUGAUCGGUUAUGUCAAAAAGCUGCUAAUAUUAACAGCUAAAAAGGAAGACCAAAGGAAGGCCUGUCGAACUCUUGUCUUGUUUGUGGAGAGGGAUGAAUUUGGCCAUCUUGUGUGUUUAUGGAGAAGACCAAAAGCUGCAAAGGCAAACAUUUCCAAUGCCCCAUCAGGAAGAGCCCUCAACAAAGUCUUACGCUGAAGUAGUAAUAAUCCAUAGAAUUUCAGCAAAUUCAUAUGAUACACUGUGUGUUCCUACAAAGUUCUAGGACUUUUACUCCUGCUGUCAUUGGCCUUUGCCUCAACUCUCAUGCAGAUUGUGCCAAUUGAUUUCUCACAUACUACACCAUCAGCUCUCCACAAUAUCAGCCUUUUCAAAAGCUUCCACAUCUCUGUCUCUCUCUCUGCUCUCACAUCUGCUCUCAGUCCUUUACUGCCAACGUCCAGUCUUAGCAUGUCUACGUGUAUUAAUUUCUCCUCUACAGUCAACACUCCCAUCUCUACUGUGAGCACUUCUGUCGCUAUCACUAUGACUUUUAUAAUUAUAAAAUUAUAAUUGUUAUCAACCAUUUUAAUUUGUCUUGCAUAUAGUCACAAUAGAAGAAACAAUGAUUACAGGAGAUACAUUUUUAGCCUAUUUGUUCAUUAAAGGGGAAAAAAAUUAUGUCUUUUCAAUUGGAGGCUCAAAACUUCCAGUUUGUAAAAUAUUAUUUGGCAUCUUAUAACGUUUUUCUGUAAACAAACUCUCUUUUUCUUUUUGAAUGUUAGACAGUUGUUUUUUAAAGGGGUCUUCUAUUGCAUACUUUUUAGUUACAUGUUUGUUGUACCCAUUAAUUACUUUAUCAAUCAGUCAUUGAUUUAAGUUGUUAUAUUUCACUAUAAUUGAUUACGUUUUUGCAGAUACAUUUUCAU